rnacentral:rRNA from 1 species
CAAGGAAUUUUCGGCAAUGGGCGCAAGCCUGACCGAGCAACGCCGCGUGCGGGAUGACGGCCUUCGGGUUGUAAACCGCUUUUGGGGGGGAAGAAUCAGACGGUACCCCCCGAAUCAGCCCCGGCUAACUCUGUGCCAGCAGCCGCGGUAAUACAGAGGGGGCAAGCGUUGUCCGGAUUGACUGGGCGUAAAGCGCACGUAGGUGGUUGGUUACGUGGUGUGUGAAAGCUCAGGGCUUAACCCUGAUACGCCAUGCCAAACGAAUCGACUUGAGGCUGAGCAGAGGCGGGUGGAAUUGCCGGUGUAGUGGUGAAAUGCGUAGAGAUCGGCAGGAACACCAAGGGGGAACCCAGCCCGCUGGGCCAGUCCUGACACUGAGGUGCGACAGCGUGGGGAGCGAACAGG